UGUACGUAUGUUUUGGGGAAACAGUCUUAAUUUCUACAGUAUUGGCUUAAUUGUGUUUUUUUAAAUGUUUAUUUUGUAAAGAUAUAAUUUGUUUUUUUGCUGUUGUUUUCCCAUGGAAACUGAUGCUUUGUGUUGCAUUCUAAAUUUACAGUCAAAACAGUUAAUAACAAAAAUGAUUUUUAGACAUGAGUUGAAGCAUAUUGGAAAAUGUGUAUUUCAUGACUAACAAUGCUGGACAGCUAACACACACACAGGACCCGUACCACCAUCAGCCUCUCUCUGAGUGCUCUAGCCAAAUAAGGUGUUGUUUUACUUGGACCAUGCCUCUACCAGACCACAGCAGCCACUGGACAACAUUCCUAAGAAUGAUGAGUUUACUGUCAUGUACAAUGACGUCAGGAAGCAGGUGCUCAAUCGCAAAUUAAGUAAUGGAUUUUUUAUUUUCCUUUCCAGACAUAUAUCGACUGAAAUCAAGCCUUCUGGUUAAAUUGUCCUUAAGAUGAAAUACAAAACACACCCAUUUUCUCGUUUCUCUUAAUGUGAGCGAAAAACAGAAUUUAAUCAAAGCACUGUGUUAAAAACAAAUAAACGAGCUGAAAACAGUGUUUUCAAAACUCGACCCGGAAUUGGAUUUAAAACCGUUUCCCGAUUUCUUGUUUUGAGGAAAAAACGGAAAACACGAAGACGGCUCGUUUUCUGGUUUUCCCGGCUUUUAUUCUGGAGGGGGAAAACAAACUAUUAAAAUAUACACAGACCUUUUCUCGUUUCUCUUCAUGAAAGUGACAGACAUCAUUUAAUCGAAGCAGCGUGUUAAAAACAAAUGAAACAUGCCGAAAACGAUGUUUUCAAAACCAGACAAAUAAAUGGAUUUAAAGCCAUUUCCCGUUUUCUUGUUUUCAGGAAAAAACGGAAAACGAGAAAACAACUCAUUUUCAUUGUUUAGCCUUGUUUCUAUCGAGCUGCUGAUCCUGCCACUUGGGACAUGCAACACCUGCAUCAAUGUGCUUCAAGUACCAAAGCUGAUUAAGACAAGGCUGAUGGCUUUUGAAUAACCAACAGCUCAUGUAGACGUUUAGGUCACACAAUGUGAUAGUAAUAGAGGAAAAACAGCCUCAAGACCAAAAAACAAACUGGAAGUGACACUUAAAGGACAACUAGCCGUUGAAGAUUGAAGAAUAAGAGAUGGAUUCAGUUUUUCCUGUCGCUCAGUCAUUGGGACUCUGCUGUUCUUUGUAUUUCUGGUUGUCGCCUCAUUUAAUUCGUAGUUGCUGGAGUCAUGGACCUCUCCUCACCUUGUGUGUUUGCCUGGACAUAGGCUCUGAGUAGAGGAGGUCAGAUCAGUUCUGUUUGGCAUCAGAAGUCCAUUAGCUUGUUUUAGCUUGUUUGUUACCUCAGCUCCACUGGAGCUUCAAUGGAAUUGGACAGAAUUCUAUAGUUUGCAGUGGCCAAAACAAAAACAAGACAAAACAGGACAAAACAACAAUAUAAGUAUUAAAGGGCUCAUAUCAUGCAAAAUCCACUUUUUAGACAUUUUGGAGAGUUCCUAUGACUCUAUGGGUCACAUAUACACACACUGAGCACGGUAGAAAUACAUUUCCUGCUUUUUUCACAUUUUGAAAACGUAGAUUUUCUCACCCAAUGAAGAGAGAGAUCUACUACUCUGAGACCGUGCCCCAUGUGUCGUCACACUGGUAGGAACAUCUCCUUGCAAAUCCUGAACCACCACCCCCACAAUGAUCCCGAACCAAAACUGGACUUCCGCCAUUUCCCCCCUCUCACUCACCGUGAACAGACGAGCACGGCAGCGUUCAAGUCCUCCCAUAGAAAUAGUUUGGUUCUUAGGUGUUCUAACCAACACCAAAGUCUAUUCACUUUAACAAGGGAUCAACAAGUGAGGACUUUGUGGGUCACUUUUAUUUUUAACGGACCGGUGCCAGAAACACUGCCUCAGCAUUUAUACGUAUGUGCAUUUCAAACGAGGGUGCGUACAAUGCUGGAUUUGUUUCACGGCUCCUGUUGGAAAAAAGAACCUAUUCCUAAAGUCCGUCAUCCACUCACUGAAGGAGCCACAUCCCAGUUACCUACAUGCAAGGAGGCUGUCAAACAGAGAAAUCACUGCAGACUGUUGGUACACGGACAUCUGCUGCCCAGCUUAGGAGUAAAGUACCUUUUGUUUUGAUGAGGUGAUGGUGAGGACAGCCACAGCUUCCAUCUGGUAGAGGACUGCUUCCGCUCAGUCUUCCAAAUAGUGAUGAGAACAAGGAUCACCACAUCUCCCUGUUUACCCUACUUUCAUGCAUUUCGUCUGCAAGGCCCUGCAAAAGCUUCUGUCCUCAAACCCCCAGACUUCUUAAUUAACUCAGUAACCUAUACAUUGCACAUUGGAGUGUGAAGGUAACAGUUUGUUCUAGCUUUGGAGUAGUGGUGCAUUUUUUUGGUUUACAAUAAAGUUGGCUUUAACUUAUGUAUUUCACUGAACUCUGUUUCUGAAAACACUUUUAUUCAGGAAAUCAUAGUAUUGAAAUUACAUGUUUUUUCUCUUUCUAACAUGGUAAGCUAUAAAGUUGAAGCGGCCAUAAAUAAAAAGCAUAUGAAUUAUAUAUAAAUUAAAAAAAAAUCUAAAAAUGAGUAUUGCACUCACAAAAAACACAUUUUUACUCAAAUGGUAAAGGAGUUAUUCCACAGGUGGUUUACUGUACAUCCAUCAUACAAUGAGUGUUUUAGUGUUUUAUCCAUCAGGAAACUCUGCCUUCAUCUACAACCCAAGCAUGAAGAGAUGGCAACUCAGAUUCUUCACCCCAGGAAUCCUCAGCACCAGCCCACUAGCCUCUGUAGACUAGAUACCUGUAACAACUUCAGAUACAGAGACAUAUUACUGUCAGAUUUAUCAAGAAUGACAAAAAACAUAAUUAAAAGCAGUAGAAAUACGUUAGGUCAAUAUAUAAUUUGAACCAAUGCUUUUUGUUCCCAGGAAGGUCAUGCAGUGAUUGCUCUAAAUAUUAAUGCACAUUUUUAAAUAAAAUUAUGUCAGAGCAGCAGCACAAGUAAGACAAAACAGUGAAAUGUGUAAAUGUAAAAUGUAUUUAUAUUAUUUCAGCUAUGCUCUCAAACUUAUUUAUUUGUAUAAUGUGAGCUAAAGUAGUGUUUUCUAUUAACGAGAGUUUUCCAGGUAAGUCGUGUUGUGAAUAUUGAAGCUGCACACGCCAUUUAGCAUACGCAUUAGCAACUGCUAGUUGCUUUGCAAAUUACAUAAAUCAAUUAAAUUGAAGUAAAUGCGACAUUACCAAUGAGACACAUCUUGCAUCAGCCGAAAUGUGGCGACUUCAACAGCCUCCUCUUCAGCUUCAGGGUCAGAUUCGGGAUCGUAGACGUAUGGUUCCACUACGCUACGAACUAGCUGGCUGGCUAAUGUCGUGCAGUCCUGUAGUGGGUCUUCUUCUUCUGUGGAGGAUUGCGUUCUCAAUGUCGCACUACUGCCACCUAUUGUAUCGUAACCGUGCGGUGGCUCGUAUCCAUGGAGCCAAUUUAAAAAAAAAAAAAAACAAUAACAAAAAAGAUAUGCGCUUCCGCACAGAGGUGUGGUGAGCAGCUUCGCUUGCGACACGCCCAGAAAACACAGCGUUUGCUGAUGGGGAGUGAGAACCACAUAUUGACAGGGGCAGUGUGGACGAUCUAAAGGGUUUUAUGGGAUGAAAAUUUACAGAGACCUUACUGAGACAUUAAAGUCUAAUAUUUUUUAGAAUGAAAAGUAUGAUAUGUGUCCUUUAACUGUGCAAAAAUUAGGCACUAAUGAAUUCCUUGCUUCCAGGAACCUGUCCGCUUGGUCCAAGCAGCUUGUGUGGGUGGAAUACGCCCACAACACUCCCAUGCUCAUCCACGGGUCUCUCAGCAUUUCAGUGUGUGUACGGGUUCGAGCCACCGCUGUUCCUGGCGCUGGAGGAGGAAGCUCGAGUCCCAUCAUUGGACGAUGUCAGCAAACCUGGCGGCAGGCACGACAGGUAAUGUUGCGGGUGCAAGCAGAGAGAAGGUGGCAGCAGACUGCAAGCGGUCGGCCGAACCUCCGUAUGCGGUUGGGGACAAAGUUUGGUUGUCCACUAAGGACUGCCUCCGAGGGUCAUUGACGAGGGUCCCACAUAUACGGUCAGAGCUCUCCUGGCUUGUCAACAACAAGGUUGAGAAAGGCAGUUCCUGGUCGACUGCGAGGGGUACUGUCUGGAUGAACGGUCAUAGGUUCCGGCACGAGACAUUCUCGACACCAACCUCAUAAAGGACCUUCACCGAGCUCAUCCAGACCUCAGCCGGCUCCUGUGGCCUUCCACCGGCCUCCCUCCGCCCACCCUGGCUGGAAGGUGGUGGUUCCUUUGGGCGCCUGGGACGUCGCCCUUGCGGUGAGGGUUCUGUCAUGCUUUCACGUGUUUCAAUUUAAUUUGCGGUUUUAUUGUUUUGUAUUUCCGUUUCUGUGCAGUCCAUGCCCUGCUCUAACAUUACUUCCGGUUUCAAUCAGAUCAGCUGUCUGUAAUUAGUAAUCAUGCCUCAGGACGCGAUGCUGUGAGAGAGCGCGAGAACAGCACGAGAAAUUCAACAAGGCGGCGCGAAACAGGUAGUAAACAACAGCGCGACAAACUAUCCGCCAAUUUAAAUAAAUAAAUAACUACCUUAUUUUACGGAAAAUAAUAAACCACCCUAACAUUCUGGAUAACACCGAAGAAAGUUUCGAGUACAUCGACGAGUGCUUCGAGCGUCUGGUAAUGGGGAAAAAGGAGACGGCUCCCAGCAAGCGUUCCCGUCCGUCUGACUCACCUGAGUCACCUGGAGCUAGCUCGGCGGAUAAAAACAUCACGGACAUCCUGGAGUCCAUAGAGAAAAAACUAUCAAGCUUCGACGCGUGUCUGGCACUAGUGGAACUCCUCCACAAAGAGUUUAUGGCCCUUCGCGAUUCCCUGAAAUUCAGCCAGCAGCAGGUGGUUUCUCUCGCCACCGAGAAUGAGGCCCUGAAGGGAACGGUGCAGUCCCUGACGGAGGAUGUGGCUCAGCCAGCGGCCGAAAAUAAAAAAAUAAAAGAAGGCAUCAUUGAUCUGCAGGCCAGCAGCAUGAGGGACAACCUGGUGUUCUCGGGGAUUCCAGAGCAGGCGGAGGAAAACACGGAAACCACCGUUAAAAACUUCCUUAAACAAAAGAUGAAUAUUCCAGCGGAAGUUGUGGACAAGAUGGCGUUCCACCGUUCGCACAGACUCGGAGGAAGACGACCGGAUGGCCAGCGCCCUUGACCCAUUGUUGCCAAGUUUCAUGACUUUAAGCAGAAGGAACUGGUUCUUCAGCAGACAGCUGAAGGGAACCGACUACAGCGUCAACAAUCAGUUCCCCAAGGAGAUCCUCGACCGCCGCCGCCGACUGUUCCCCAUCCGUAAGAGGUUCAUGGCAGAAGGCUGCAGGGCUGUCAUCAGCGUCGACAAACUGUACGUCAACGGAGAGCUCUACCAGGACCGGGAAGCAACUCCGUGGCUGUACUAGCAGGUGGUAUGUAAAAAAUGCUUUAAUAUAAAAGGUUUGUUAAAAAAAUAAUAGAUGCAAUGCAACUAUGUGUUAUAACCUUACAUCCAGUAUUCAAACUCGUUCGCUCGCAGAUGUUUCAUGUAAAUGUUUAUUGUGAUUCUAAUGUCACUCACUCACUCACUUUGCAAAGCGCUCAUCAUACUUAAUCACUCACUUUCCUUUCACUUUAAUUUUCCUUCCCUUUAUUCUUUUUCCUUCACCUACUUUCACUCCACACUGUCUACAUCCUUUUCUCUAUUCUUCUUCCACAUAGUCAGCCAGCUAUGUAGCCCUCCAGCAGCCACACACAAACAUCUACUGCACAAGGGAAACACGUGCCCAUACAUAGAUAACACACAACUCAGAAUACACAGGUACUUAAGGUUAGCCACACACCUACAGUCAUAGCACUUCAAAGCGACCACCUUUUUUACCGCAGUACGUGCGUGUCGCCAGCACGCCACGGGUGCGUCCCCGACUAAGGAUUUUUAAUCCUGCAGCCAGCUGAAAAAAAUCAGGGUGCUAGUCUUAUGUUAACCACCAGGUGGCGCAAAGAUGUGAGGUCCUACUGUUCAUUUCUAUCUGUGUCUGCGCAUUAAGCACAAAAAACGAUGUCAUGGUAUUGUAUCAUUAAAUGUAGAGUAGUUCAUUUUUAAAUAUUAUAGAUUAUUAUGCGUCUUUGCUCGCUAGUGUGGGCUAGUGUUUGUUGUCAAUUGCCGAAGCUGCUGAUGUUUUCACAGUUUCCAGGCCAGCCGAGAGACACAGUCCCUCCUCCAGCCAAUCCAAUAGAAUAAUAUAAGUAUAAUAACAUAAAAUAGGAAUCUAUAUUUAUUCAUCAAUCUGUGUUAUAAAUGUAAUUUAUAUGUAUACCUGUACUCGUCUUCUGGUUUGUUGAUCAUGAGGAAAAAACACAAAACAAACUUGGUUUUCGUUUCAGCUCGUAAUAUUAAUUAACGGAAUUCAGGUGUUGUUGUUUUUUCGACACAACGCACGGAAAUGGAUUUAAAGCUGAUUUUUCGUUUUGAGAAAAAAGCAGAGAACGAAAAACUAAGUCGUUGUCUUGUUAUAGCAGCUUUUAAGUUUAACCAAACUCUUAAAAUUUACUCAGACCGCAAUGACCUAUAGUUUGCCAUGAUUCUGAAUGAAACGUAAGAGCCUGAAUGACAGAUCAUUUGUCCAGAUAGAGCUUAACCGGAAAUGUAUGCUUGUCAAAUGCAGGCAACAAGAGAAUCGGGGAAGUGGCGUCACCGUCUGAAGCAGACAGUGAUGUGACGUUCCAACGAUGGUGCUGAGGAGCCACUUAUUCAUAGGCAGAUGACUUGGAUCAAGUUGUCAAUACGCGCUAGUGCUUUUUGUCAGUUGCUGAUGUCGCUGCUGUCUUUAUACAGUAUGUCUUCGUGUUUAAGUGUCGGGUCCGUGUACGUUUUAACAGUUUGAUUUUCCCCUCCAGAAUAAAAGCUGGAAAGACAAGAAAACACGUCGUUUUAGAACGUUUUAAACCUGGAGGACCUGUUAAUGUGUCUGGACACGCUCCCAGUAAGUCCAGUAACUUUGUAUUGUAACGAGAAAGCCCCACCAUCUCGUUUAAAAAGGACAAAUGGCAUUUAUUCAAAGCAGCGUGUUAAAAACGAAACGAGCUGAAAACGGUGUUUUCAAAACCAGACACAUUAAUGGAUUUAAAGCCGUUUCCCGUUUCGGGGAAAAACGAAUCGACUCUGGCAUUAGAGCAUUUUGCCAGAAUUUUUGCCAAUUUUUUAUUACACAGGCAAUACAGUGGAUUUGGAACUCGCUUCGCGCGAGUUACGGCGUCUGAUGUUGAUUCAGUUGCAAAGCAAACUUUAAACCCCAUCCCCUACUACGUAUUGGCACAGAGACAUUAACAUACUGUCUCCACUCAGUCAAUAGGUGUAAAAUACUUUAGAUCCGAGACAAAGAAGAACUCCAUAGGAGAUCGGGCAGCGUGAUCAGCUGCACCUAUGUAGCUGUGAGAGGCCAAAACCUUUCACUUGACUUUUUUAAAAGGCUCUUCUUAUGGUAUUUCACACAAGUCUGUCAGACUACAUCUGCUAACUUGUAGAGAAUAUCAUAUAAUAAAAAUAAAUAAAUUGUAAUAAUCUCUCUGAGGUAUGCCAGAACGCCAGGACUCCUGGGGGAUACCUGGGGAAUAAAAACGAUUCUGAUUCUGAAAGCGGCUGAUCAACUUAGCAGGAACACAUUUCAUGUGGUACAGGUGAAAGGGACACUAACAACCUAACGCAGCCGAGGCUGUAGCAGGCAGAGAAACGCAGAUCUUUGUCCUGCGUGUUGAUGCGCGUUUCCCCAUCCCCCAGUGUCCCCGUUCUGGGACGUGGAUGGCCCCGCCCACUUUCAUUAACCAGACGGACACGAAAGAGGAAAUAACGAAAUAAACAGCUGGUUAACUUUGUGAGAACAUGGCUGUAGCUCUGCAAUGACUUUAUGUGUUACAGGUGAAAGGAGUAAUAACGAAAUAAACGGAAUAUAAAAUGGAACGCUUUCAAGCGUUUUCUGUUCACCCAAACUUGAUGGGUGUACAGUCAUCUUUUCAGUAAUUUUUAGCAUUUGCAUGUUGUUGUGUAUGAAUAACGAAAUUAACAAAGUCUAUGUUUGAAAAAACUGUGAAGAGUUCCGUGUCUACAUGAAAGCGGGCAGAAACACGUCCGUCUAUGACUCACUGCCGAAAGCGGCUGGUGAACCUCUUGUGAACAUGGCUGUAGCUCUGCUAAAUAAUACAGACAGCCAGCCCUAUUAAUCAUUUGCUAUUUUCUUGUUUGCCAAAAUAUAAAAAUGUUCAGUAAUUACAACUUCUGCUUCCACCAGGAUUCGAACCCGGGGUAAAAAAUUGACACAUCAAGGCUGUUUAACAUAAUACAAGCCAUUAUACCACGGAGGCAUGAAUACACAUCUCUACAUGGGCCUAUAUAACAUAAGUAUAGGACAGCGUCAUAAAGGCCAGUGUGGGGGCUGAUCACCACCUAUAGGC